rnacentral:rRNA from 1 species
CCUACGGGAGGCAGCAGUGGGGAAUUUUGGACAAUGGGCGAAAGCCUGAUCCAGCAAUGCCGCGUGAGUGAAGAAGGCCUUCGGGUUGUAAAGCUCUUUUGUCAGGGAAGAAACGGUGCGGGCUAAUAUCCUGCACUAAUGACGGUACCUGAAGAAUAAGCACCGGCUAACUACGUGCCAGCAGCCGCGGUAAUACGUAGGGUGCAAGCGUUAAUCGGAAUUACUGGGCGUAAAGCGUGCGCAGGCGGUUUUGUAAGUUUGUCGUGAAAUCCCCGGGCUCAACCUGGGAAUUGCGAUGAAGACUGCAAGGCUAGAAUCUGGCAGAGGGGGGUAGAAUUCCACGUGUAGCAGUGAAAUGCGUAGAGAUGUGGAGGAACACCGAUGGCGAAGGCAGCCCCCUGGGUCAAGAUUGACGCUCAUGCACGAAAGCGUGGGGAGCAAACAGGAUUAGAUACCCUGGUAGUCCACGCCCUAAACGAUGUCUACUAGUUGUCGGGUUUUAAUUAACUUGGUAACGCAGCUAACGCGUGAAGUAGACCGCCUGGGGAGUACGGUCGCAAGAUUAAAACUUAAAUGAAUUGACCGGNNGAGACGNGCGAGACGACGACGAGGGAGGAGG